ACCAUAGUGCCACAAUCGCUAAACUCUCAGUGUAGUUUUUGAAAAUCAGCGAGUCUAAUAACGUCAUUUAACAUUAGUAAAGAUAUCUCAGUCACAAAUCCUAUCUUCUUCUUCGGCACAAAAAAAGUUUAGCUUCUUUUGGUCUAAUGUGUUGUAUGUUGGUAAUUACUCCGAUUUUUGAGUUUUGAAUCCAAUCCAAGAAUUAAUGCUUGUUUGAGCUCACUUUGUUUGGAACGAGGAUGCUUUUUCAAGGUACUUCUCUGAAAUGCUUAACAUCUAUGUUCCUAACAUUUGAUGAAACUCAACUAUACAUAUGCAAAAAUGGAAAAGAGUUUAUUAAAACGCACCAUUCAUUGCUUUCCGUGCGUAACCCGUCAUGGUCUGACCAUUGAAUCCCCAACUUCUUGGGCCUCGGCUGAGGAACUAAUCCGUAAUGUUCUGCAUCCCUCUUCAUGGCUACCAUUUCAACCCUCACUUGUUGAGCAUUCCAGCCUAUAACAAACACACGGAUCAUGUGUCAAAAUAAUGCUAAUUGUGGCACACAAAAACAUUUACAUCAUGUCAUAAAGAAGUUCCGAGGUUAGUAAGUUAGUAUCAUGCCUCCAUUGAAGCAAGUUUCUUCUCGGCAUCUCUCUGAGCUUGUCGAGCACUGUCCACUUCACCCUGCCAUGCUUGAAUCUGCAUAAUUAGAGUAUUUCUAAGAUGUGAAACGACUACAGUAGAAGAAUUAAGGUAUGAUACAUGACUUAUCAGAGUUACCAAGGGAUCGUAAAUACUUUUUGCAUAUAAGUUCUUGGUUUUUACUUCUAACAAAAAAAUUAAAGUGUGCAAAGAGCUCACAAUUCACAAUUGAAGUUAACUUCCACAACGUAGAGCAUGAUAACCUAAAAAUACAUACAUGUGUCACUUGGUUUGGUUCAUCCGGAGAUUUCGUUUGCCCUCUGCGAGCACGAACUUCCAUAUCUUGCAACUCUUGAUCCAGAGAUGUACAUUCCACCUGCGUAUCAUUUGCCAAUUCUUCUAAUGAAGUUCAAAUAUAUGAUAAUGGGGGAACAAAAUGAGAGGCUAGAAACCUGAAGGGACGACAAUUUUCCUUCGUUCAGAGCAGCCUGGUUUUUCAAGGCAUCCAUUGUGCUGACAAGUGCUUCUUUCUACCUCUGAGUUCGUAGCUGCUAGUGCCUCAACCAUGCUUGACUCUACUUUCGACACUUUUCUUUUAGAAGAUGAUAAAUAUUUUUGUAACUAUCUAAUGCUAGCUUCAUAUGACUUGGUCAGCUCUUGCUAUAACAGUAAAAAAAAUGAAGAAAUAAAAUUAGGUGGCUUCAAGUA